rnacentral:rRNA from 1 species
UGGGCGUAGCGCGCGUAGGCGGAGCGCUAAGCGGGACCUCUAACCCGAGGGCUCAACCCCCGGCCGGGUCCCGAACUGGCGCUCUCGAGUGCGGUAGGGGAGAGCGGAAUUCCCGGUGUAGCGGUGGAAUGCGCAGAUAUCGGGAAGAACACCGACGGCGAAGGCAGCUCUCUGGGCCGAAACUGACGCUGAGGCGCGAAAGCUGGGGGAGCGAACAGGAUUAGAUACCC